CAAGAAAUAGCAUAUAGUGUAGU
rnacentral:tRNA from 1 species